UUCCAGGGCACAAAAGGCGACCCUCGGAACUCAACUGGGGGAAUUUACCUGGAUGACAUCACUCUGACAGAAACCCCCUGCCCCACAGGGGUCUGGACAGUCCGGAAUUUCUCCCAGGUCCUUGAGAACACCAGCGAAGGGGACAAGCUUCAGAGCCCUCGAUUCUACAAUUCAGAGGGAUGCGGUUUUGGGUUAACUUUAUACCCCCAUGGCAGAGAAAGCUCUGGCUAUUUGAGACUUGCUUUUCACGUGUGCAGUGGGGAGAAUGAUGCUAUCCUG
rnacentral:lncRNA from 1 species